rnacentral:rRNA from 1 species
GUGGGGAAUCUUAGACAAUGGGGGAAACCCUGAUCUAGCCAUGCCGCGUGAUCGAUGAAGGCCUUAGGGUUGUAAAGAUCUUUCGCUGGGGAAGAUAAUGACUGUACCCAGUAAAGAAGCCCCGGCUAACUCCGUGCCAGCAGCCGCGGUAAUACGGAGGGGGCUAGCGUUAUUCGGAAUUACUGGGCGUAAAGUGCACGUAGGCGGACUGGAAAGUUGGGGGUGAAAUCCCGGGGCUCAACCUCGGAACUGCCUUCAAAACUCCCAGUCUUGAGUUCGUGAGAGGUGAGUGGAAUUCCGAGUGUAGAGGUGAAAUUCGUAGAUAUUCGGAGGAACACCAGUGGCGAAGGCGGCUCACUGGCUCGAUACUGACGCUGAGGUGCGAAAGCGUGGGGAGCAAACAGGAUUAGAUACCCGAGUAGUCC